GCCUGGCGGAGGCCUAUCAGGAGAGGACCAAGCGCAGCGGAACUAAGAAAAAGGAGUCAAAUCUAAGACGUCCUGGUCUACGAGGGAGCUUGAGUCACUGAGAUUCGGAAGGCCAAGUUGCCCGUUUGGCGGGGCGUCCAAACGGGCCUGAGAGUUCAGUCAUGUUUACACACGCGUUGACGCGCGCCUUGCGCAAGAACAAGACCCUUCGCUACGGAGUCCCCAUGUUGUUGUUGAUUGUUGGAGGUUCUUUUGGUCUUCGUGAGUUUUCACAAAUCCGUUAUGAUGCUGUGAAGAUUAAAAUCGAUCCUGAAUUAGAGGAAAAACUGAAAAUGAAUAAAGUGUCAUUGGAAUCAGAGUAUGAGAAAAUAAAAGACGCGGCUUUUGAUGAUUGGAAGAAUAUUCGAGGACCCAGGCCUUGGGAAGAUCCUCAGCUCCUCCAAGGACGAAAUCCAGAAUUCCUGAAGACUAAGACAACUUGACUAUUCUGAUUUUUUUUUCUUUCUUUCUUUCUCUUCCUUUCUUUGUUCCUUUGUUUCUUUUUUUCCUUCCUUCCUUCCUCUUUCCUUCUUCCUUCCUUCCUUCCUUCCUUCCUUCCUUCCUUCCUUCCUUUCUUUCUUUCUUUUUUUUUUUAAAUAAAAUGUUAUCAACUGGAAUGCCCACUGUACACUCCUCUCCAGUGGAAUGAAAAUUCCAGACCUGCAGAAGCCUGGAUAUACUGUGCGGGCAGGUGAUUCCAGGCUGGGUGGAUCCAGUCCUCUGUGCAGAGCUGCCUUCCCAAGGAGAGGCUGAUGUCUGCAGCCCAGCAAACCACAUCAGUCACCUGGACUCCACAAAGAGGACACAUAAGAAACUAUAGAUGAGAAAACUCUUCCACAUCUGGUGUUUUGAGGAGCUGCCAAGCUCCUGUCUCUGAGCUCUCUUUCUUAUUUCCUUCUGCUUUCAUGCUUCUUGAUCAGCUUUCUCCUAUUCCUUCUCAGCUCCCUUUUCCUUGCCCAGAUAUAAUAACCACAAGAAACCAGGGCAUGAGAUAGCUCCAGGCACUAAUAAUCAGUUCCUCUUGCUGGUCCUUGGAACCUGCUGCUCCACAAACAUACUGACACACAGGUGUACACACAUGGGCACACAAGCCAAUUUCCUGAUAGUGGGUGCCUGAGUGGGAAGGGGCCAUCUGGGACAGCCGUCUGGGAGGUAGCUCUGAGACCUGCCUUCAGCAUAAAUUGCCAGUCUGUAUCAUACCCCCAGGGGGUGUGUUUACCCCUGUGCACUGAAGGGGCAACAUCCUUGCAAAGAGCAUUUCUCUUGACUAAGAGUCUCUUGGCAAAUCAAAGUUUUCCUCAGCCAUUGGGAGAACAAGACAAAAAACUCCAAGCCCUCUAAAUGGACACUGAAUGUGAGAAGAUGCCCAACUUUGAGGAAUCCCAGCACUUUGCCAGCAAAGGCCCAGCCGUGAGGUUCUUCAAGGCAUAUUUGGUGAUUUUUAUGGCAGGAAGCCUGGGCAAGCAGACUAAUUGUAUUGGAGUAUGACCCUCUUUAAACACAAGGGGAAAAAAUCUUGACAAAACCUUUGUAAAGGUGUCUUCUCCUAACCAGUUUCUCAGGUUGUACAAUAUUGUGAAAGCCCCAAGGGCAGCCUUCUCUCCCUCCUUGCUGGCUUUCCCUUUCCUCCCCAUUACGGAAGGGCAAGAGGCUACUACCGUUUUUCCCCCUUUCCCUUUGCUGUGCUACGUUAGCUACUUUCACCAUGAGCUUUCUCUGAAGUUCUGGUGUGUGAAGAGCAGAGAGGCCUUAUAGCCAAGUUCUGUAAUAUUCCAUAGGCUCAGGCCACAGUUCCUGAUUCAGCCCCCGAAAAUAUAAUACUACCUCCUACAAUUCACUAGAAAAUAAAUCUAGGCUCUUCAUCAAUUUCCCCCAACUAAUAACCUCAGCUUUUCUUAAAUGAUACAGGGCCUACAUUUAUUAAAGUGUCAGAGAAUUGGAGAAUGUGAAAUUGAGUAAGAAGCUUAAAGAUCACCCAUCUUCGACUAAGACCCUUAUUUUACAGAAGGGAAAAAUGAGGCCAGAGAAGAAAGUCAACUUGUCCAAGGUCACGCAGCUGGUUAGUGGAAGAUUCUGGACUGAAAUCCAGUUACCUUGACUACUAGUUGAAGACAGUCCUUCUGUUCACUCAGUUUAAAGGGCUGGGUAGGAACCACUAUUCUUUUCCAAAGGUGAUAAAUUCUGCAUGUCUCUAUUUGUGAAUGUGGGUGAGGACACAGACCUGAGAGCAGGUACAAUGUUUUCAGCCUUUAUAACAGUGCUAGGUGAAUACAUGCUAAAAACCACUUAUUGAAUUAAUGGAUGGAUGUACAUGAACAGGCAGAUGGGGAGUAACCAUAUGCACAGUGUUACCCGUGACUCAGUAAAAGCAGACAAGUCAGGGACCCACAGGUGUUAGGGAGUGUGUUGUCCCCUGGGUAUGAAGUCUGGGUGAAGGAGAGCACAUCUGUGUUGACAGGAUGUCUGUAAGCACCAGGUGUACUGAGGGUCCAGUCUGUGAUCCUGGGAUUCGACUAAAUCUCCUUGGGCUCCAUUUCUUUAUCUUCCUUAAUAUAAGUAACAACAGUAAAUCUCAGGGAUUGUCCCAGAUCUGCGUAUGUCAGACCACAGGUCUCCAGGAGGGAAUGGAUUUCAUAGGAAGGUCAUUUCAUCUUGUGACACUGUGGUGUGUGUGUGUGUGUGUGUGUGUGUGUGUAGGGGGUUCUUCCUGGAACAUGUAAUUGAUAGAAAACCAGCCUUCCCGCCUUUUACCUUACCUUAUAAUCUGGCUCCACUCCCAAAUCCCAAGCCCCAUUUAUUCAUGAGAAAUGAGAACUUGGAAAGGAAAAGAGAUAGAGGGUUUCAUUUUGAUGUAGCUGGCGAGAAAAUCUUGAGACACCCUGUGCGCUGUUUAAUUUUUUAGUACCUAGUUGGCCAUUUAUUUCAUUUCAUAUCCUAGUCCACAUCCAGUGAAAUCAAAGUCCUGUAACCACUUAUUCUUCUUUUAUAUAUUAUGGAAAAUGUUCCAAAAAACCCCAGUGGAGUUGGUUUCAUAUUGCCAUCCUCAGACCACCCACCACCACUUAUGAAUAGGUCUGUUCCAAGGCCCCGGUGCUGCUCUAUUGGGUGGAUAAUGAUGCAGGGGGGAGGGGACAGGAAGAAUAUCAGCACAGAAAGGCUCUUCUUAUUUGGAGACUAGGUUCCUGGCACUUGACAAGUCAGUGAAAGGGGAGUAAGUCUCUGAAGGUUCACCGAGAAGAUUGUGUGGUCCACCUCCCAUAGCUGGGAGUGGGCUUAGUUGCUCCAGGUCGGUCUCUGAUCCCUCACAUGAGGAAUUAUAUUACCAUGGCUGGAGGUCAUCAUGGGUGCAAAUUAUAAUCUGUUUCUCUAGAAAUGAG